AGCAAAAUACUAGAAGCAACUCUUCACAAAAGCUACCAAAUUUAGCACUAUACAAGAAAUUGGUAAGCCAAAAGAAACACAGAUACAUACAUACCCUUCCACCUUCAUAUGACCCAAAAUUGCAUUACUGAAAUUUAACACUAAUCAAACCGGAAAAAAAAAAAAAAAACUUAACAGAAUAACUACACUUAAUCAUUAGAUAACUAAUUCGUGUUUCAAAGUGUGAGACUUGCAGAAUUACCGAAAUAGAUGAAUCUUGCUUGUCCUCAGUCAGCUUUAGAAAUACAUAAGGAUAUGCUCCUUCUAAAUGAAUCUUCUGCGGCUUUCAGAUACUUUACUGAUGUUCUCUUCCAGUUCCUGCUCCAAUUGCAUGAGUGUUGAUUGGAAGGCCCAAAUUUAGAUAAACUACUGUAAAUAUACAUGACUUGUUCAUUUCUCAUCUGGAAUUGAAUGAACAGGAGAAGCUUUAGAAAUCUGGCUGGAAAAUCAGAAGUUGACAAUCACAGCUACCAAAUCCUCUUUCUCUCUGUCACAAAAACAAAACGGUCUCAAUCCAAAAUUUGAUACCCAUAUCUCUAAUUGUCAAAAAAUCGGAGACACAUAACCAAAUUUUAAAUUCACCAUGACAUAGAAAACCAAAUGAUAACCCAUAACCAAAAUUGAAAUCAAACAAAGAAUUACCCAGACUACUAUGUCAAUUGACCGAACAUGAACAGAAAAAGAAAUUCACUUUAAUAAGAGGAUGGUGAAAAAAAAGAAAUUAAAUCGAACGAAUUGAGCUAGUACUUACGUUCACCAUAUUUAGUUUCCAGCCAGGUCCAGUUAUCUCUCCACUUUUGUACUCAGGUUGCACUCAAUAGCAAAAAGAUGAAAGAAAAAGAAAUUAAUAUAUAAUCUUGUACAUACAUGAUUGAUAUAUGAUCUUCUAAAACGAUUAUAGAAAAAUUAGGAAGUUCUACACACCUUUGUGCAUUCAUAUCUAACUCAGUUAUGAUUGCUUCCAAAGAGUGUCAUUAGCAUCCAUAUGAGACUUGAGUACUCUGUCAGUAUCCCAUUGCCUCCUCCCACGUGUUGCCUGAACCAAAAGAUGCAUUCACUUGGCUAGUCCCCCCGCCACCUCCAGCUGUGGACAACUAUAUAUCUGCAUACACAUUUGAUGAAAUCAGAAACAUGAGAUACGCACAAACACAUAAGCAUGAAGAGAUCAUGAACAAUCAAAUCAAAAGGGGAAGGAAAAGGCAUUAGAUGAAUUUUGUAGUGUGGCUUGAUCAAUGGGGACAAAAGGGGAAAACCCUUCAAUUUCAAGUCUCUUUGCACUCUGGACAAGGGACCUAGAGGCAUUGUACCAUGUCCUUGACCUGAAAUUAACCAAAGAUAAAAGUACCACUGGAUCAAUUCAAAGAACAAUGAUCAACAAACAGCACCCCAACAUGAAUACAUAUGUAACACUUAUUUUUGUGAAAUAUAUCAUCUUCCCACCAUUUGACAAAGAAACCAGGAAAGGAAAAGGCACUGAAACUAUAAUACAAAUAGUCAGUUAGAAUAAACACACAGCUACAUACUGAUCGAUAACAUCAUUUUUUUUUCCUAUCCUCAGCAAGUACAAGUCCAUUGCAAUAAUGCAGUAGAUAAUACCAUAAGUGUAGAACCUGCAUCAUAAUCAGAGGGAAGCAAUGAGGCCAAGCUUAGACAUUAGAAACUUGUGCCCAAGUUAGGACAAAAGCUGGCACAAAGGAAUCUAAUCCAACAAUAGGCAGCCGACAGUCAUUAUAUUAAUUAAAAAAGAAAAAGAAACAACUUACAAACAGCAAAAGGGUUUUUCUAUUAGUUUUGAUAAACUCCCUUUUAUGUUUCCAACUGUACUUCAUAGUUUUCAGAGUCUUCAUCUAACACUAGAAUCCAUGUGGAAAGAAGAAUCAUUACCACACAUGUACAUACAUAAUUGAUAUAUAUAUGCAAAGACCAUCGCAAGCACAAAGUCUAAAAUUUGAUAAAUUGUAUUAGGGUAAGGCACCACAAAUCACAUACACAACACAAUACGAAGCACAAAUUUUAAGACUUAGUUCUCUACAGGACGGCAUUUGCCUCUGCAAACUUAUCCCGAACUGGAAGUUGUUAGGAGCUUUUUGCAACCUAGAAGCACAAACAAAAAAAAAGAAAAAGAAAAACUUCCAGACUAACUACACUGUAUCAUUAGAUAACUAAUUCGUGUUUCAAAGUGUGAGACUUGCAGAAUUACCGAAAUAGAUGAAUCUUGCUUGUCCUCAGUCAGCUUUAGAAAUACAUAAGGAUAUGUUCCUCCUAAAUGAAUCUUCUGCGGCUUUCAGAUACUUUGCUAUAGUUCUCUUCCAGUUUCUGCUCCAAUUGCGUGAGUGUUGAUUGGAAAGCCCAAAUUUAGAUAAACUACUGUAAAUAAACAUGACUUGUUCAUUUCUCACCUGGAAUUGAAUGAAUAGGAGAAGCUUUAGAAACGUGGCUGCAAAAUCAGAAGUUGACAAUCACAGCUACCAAAUCCUCUUUCUCUCUCUCACACAAAAAAACGGUCUUAAUCCAAAAUUUGAUACCCAUAUCUCUAAUUGUCAAAAAAUCGGAGACACAUAACCAAAUUUCAAAUUCACCAUGAAAUAGAAAACCAAAUGAUAACCCAUAACCAAAAUUGAAAUCAAACAAAGAAUUACCCACACUGCUAUGCCAAUUGACCGGACAUGAACAUCAGAAAAAGCAUUUCACUUUAAUAAGAGGAUGUGAAAAACAGGAAAUAAGAUCAAAGCAAUUGAGCUAGUACUUACAUUCAACAUAUUUAGUUUCUAGCAAGGUCCAGUUAUCUCUCCAAUUUUGUAUUCAGGUGGCCCUCAAUAGCAAAAAGAAGAAAGAAAAAGAAAUUAAUAUAUAAUCUUGUACAUACAUGAUUGAUAUAUGAUCUUCUAAAAUGAUUAUACAGAAAUUAGGAAGUUCUACACAACUUAGUGCAUUCAUAUCUACCUCAGUUCUGAUUGCUUCCAAAGAGUGUCAUUAGCACCCAUAUGAGACUUGAGUACUCUGUUAGUAUCCCAUUGCCUCCUCCCAUGUGUUGCUUGAACCAAAAGAUGCAUUCACUUGGCUAGUCCCCCCACCACCCCCAGCUAUGGACAACUAUAUAUCUGCAUACACAUUUGAUGAAUUUAGAAACAUAAGCAUAAGCAUAAACACAUAAGCAUACACAUAAGCAUGAAGAGAUCAUGAACAAUCAAACCAAAAGGGGAAGGAGAAGGCAUUAGAUGAAUUUUGCAGAGUGGUUUGAUCAAUGGGGACAAAAGGGGAAAACCCUUCAAUUUCAAGUCUCUUUGCACUCUCGACCAGGAACCUAUAGGCAUUGUACCACGUCCUUGACCUGAAAUUAACCAAAGAUAAAAGUACCACUGGAUCAAUUCAAAGAACAAUGAUCAACAAACAGCACCCCGACAUGAAUAGAUAUAUAACACUUAUUUCUGAGAAAUAUAUCAUCUUCCCACCAUUUGACAAAGAAACCAGGAAAGGAAAAGGCACUGAAACUAUAAUACUAACAGUCACUUACGAUAAACCCUCACCUACAUACUGAUCAAUACAUCAUUUUUUUUCCAUCCUCAGCGAGUACAAGUCCAUUGCAAAUGAGAUUCUGAAAGGCAGGAUUGCCAAAUAAUGCAGUAGAUAACACCAUAGGUGUAGAACCUGCAUCAUAAUCAGAGGGAAGCAAUGACGCCUAACUUAGACAUUAGAAAAUUGUGCCCAAGUUAGGACAAAAGCUGACACAAAGGAAUCUAAUCCAACAAUAGGCAGCCGACAGUCAUUAUAUUAAUUAAAAAAAAAAAACAAACUUACAAACAGCGAAAGGGUUUUUCUAUUAGUUACCAAAAUAAACUCCCUAUUAUGUUUGCAGCUGUACUUCAUAGUUUUCGGAGUCUGCAACUAACACUAGAAUCCAUGUGGAAAGAAGUAUCAUUGCCACACAUGUACGUACAUAAUUCAUAUAUAUAUAUGCAAAGACCAUCGCAAGCACAAAGUCUACCAUUUGAUAAAUUGUAUUAGGGUAAGGCACCA
rnacentral:lncRNA from 1 species